UUUGCAGUGUCACAUGAAUCCUUGCCGCAUGCCUUGUGACACAUUGAUCAAGCCAGUUCUUGGCCACUGUAGUCAACCUUAAUGGGUUUGGUAUUCCAGUGUUGGCCGCCGUUGAACUGACAUGAAAGGAGAUAAAGUUGUCUGUUUACAAGAAGCAAUCAGGCUUUUUCCUUAAAGAUGUGCUGAGUGCGUCCUGGCUACCGCUGCAUCCCGGCAUGCUUCGCGGAUCGGUAUAUCGGUUGGCGGCCUGGAGGUCGGGGACCACUGCACCACCCCAACCUCCGACGACUCAGCCCAACACACCAUCAUCAGUGUGCUCGGCGCUGAUUUCCCGAUUCCCGGUUCUUUUGAAGACCCUGAUCUGGAGUUACACACUGAUUUUGGCUGUUUGCGGGAAUGGGACCCACUCUCAGGGCCUCAUGAGUGACCGCAUUUUGAUAUACCAAGGACACGGCCUGGGAGACUAGCAAGCCUUCAGGGUGGCAGAUUUUCAUGGCUCUGGAAGCAGGCAGAUUUGAGUUCGGUGCCUCCUCAGAAAACUGGUGUGUCAUGGGAGCCCAUGGAAGAUUGAAAAAAGCAAUGUAUGCCAGGAGACUUGAGUUCUUUUGGCACAGUGCUUGGAAAAAGUGACGCAAUGGACUUUAACACCAUAAAUUGGCGAGUUGUUUUGUUAUGUCUCCCCUCUCGCUGUGAAAUGGGGACAUCUCUCUUACCCUUAUUAGGGAGAGAGAGAGCCUAUGGUAUGUCAAAUACCGGGUG